AUCGCUUCUUGGCCCUUUGGCCAAGAUCAAGUGUAGUACCUAGACCUAAUAACAGGAAAAUGCAUUUUUAAAAAAAAAAUUCAUACUAAAACAUCAUUUGCUGGCCUCAAUUGUACACAAAUACAGUUAAAUAACUAUGUAAUAAAUGUCCCUAUA
ensembl:snRNA LOC120099539 U2 spliceosomal RNA